UACGGGGGGGCAAGCGUUGUUCGGAAUUACUGGGCGUAAAGGGCGCGUAGGCGGUUCGCUAAGUUGAAUGUGAAAACUCUGGGCUUAACCCAGAGCCUGCAUUCAAUACUGGCGGGCUAGAGUUCUGGAGGGGAUAGCGGAAUUCCUGGUGUAGCGGUGAAAUGCGUAGAUAUCAGGAGGAACACCGGUGGCGAAGGCGGCUAUCUGGACAGAGUCUGACGCUGAGGCGCGAAAGCUAGGGGAGCAAACAGG
rnacentral:rRNA from 1 species